UACGUAGGGUGCGAGCGUUGUCCGGAAUUACUGGGCGUAAAGAGCUCGUAGGUGGUUUGUCGCGUUGUCCGUGAAAACUCACAGCUCAACUGUGGGCUUGCGGUGGAUACGGGCAGACUUGAGUUCGGUAGGGGAGACUGGAAUUUACGGUGUAGCGGUGAAAUGCGUAGAUAUCGUAAGGAAGACCAGUGGCGAAGGCGGGUCUCUGGACAGUUCCUGACGCUGAGGCACGAAGGCCAGGGGAGCAAACGGGG
rnacentral:rRNA from 1 species